UUUUUUUUUUUUUUUUUUUUUUUUUAACUUGCCUUAGAGAAGGAGUCCAGAAGGUUUUCCUUCCUUUCUCUCUCCCUUCUUCCCUCCCCUCUCCUUCCUUCCCCCAUCUCUCUUUCCCUCCCUCCAUCGCUUUCUCCCUCAAUCGCUCCCUCCCUCCAUCACUCCCUCCCUCCUUCCCUUGCUUCCUUCCUUCCUCACUUUCUGCUAUAGUCACAGAUCAGCUUGUUUCUCAUCCAUCAUCAGAGACACUUCUUUCUGAAGCAGAUGGGAAUACAAAUAGAGACCCCCCCCCACCCCAAGGCAGAUAUACAAAGGGUGAGAGAUUCUGAAAUAGCCCUCAAUGGGAUGUCUUCAUCAAAUGCCUUUUCUCAAGGCUUGGUGAACACAGCAAAAGAGGCAGAAAGAGUAUAAGAGCCAGAGGGGACAGAGGACACCAAGAAAACAAGGCUAUCUAAAUCAACAUGAGCAACAGUCACAUCAGAAGCUGAGAUAGUGUGCCCAUGGCCUGUCUGGCAUAUCAGGUCCUUUGUGUGUAUAUUACAGCUUCUAGUUUGGUGUUUCUAUGGGAUUCCUGAGUGUACGGAUAAGUGGAUCUCCAAUUCCUGUGCCUCCUCUUAGGCUCUUUUCCUUCUGUUUGUUUUGUCCAAUUCCAAUAUGUUAGUUUUUAUUUUAUUAUAUUUUAUUAUCAUCAUCCCUUUGAAGCCUGUUUUCUAAUGAGAGACAGAAAGGGUGUAGAUCUGGAUGGAGAGAGAGGUGGAGAGGAACAGGGAGGAGCGAAGGGAGAGGAAAUCACAAUUAGGAUAUAUUGUAAGGAAAAGCUAUCCAUUUCAAUAAGAGGCAAAAAAGGAAGGAAAGCAAAAAUACAAACAACCAAACGAACAAAAACCCGACAGUGUUCAUUUUCUAGAACUUAUGGAACAAGUCACUGAGCUUUUGGCCAGCCUUGAAGACUCUCAGCUGGGAAGUGAGGGAAGUAGGUAGGUGGUAGGUGCAAGGCAAGGAGCCAGGGAAGACUGCUGACUCCCAUAUGAGCAUCCCUUCGAUUUCAGUAUCCCUGCUUCCUCUGAGCUCUCACUUGAGCGGUUAUAGUAACACAUUUAUAUAAAAAGCCCCAUGCUUGAAACCCAUCUCCCACGUUCCCCUUCACACUCCUGUGCCUUCCAGCCUGUGGAGGGGGAGACACUGAACACAUGUACUUCUCUCUUGGGAAACGGAAGCAAAGAGAAUCAGAGGAUGCAGCUUCUCUCACCUACCCAGUGGUCACAGACCACCGUCCCCCCACAUCCCAAGACGAAUCAGCUGCACAUGGUGGUGCACACCUGUGCAGCUUCUCUCACCUACCCAGUGGUCACAGACCACCGUCCCUCCACCUCCCAAGAUGAAUCAGCUGCACAUGGUGGUGCACGCCUGAAGUUCUAGCAUGCAGGAGGCUUAGGGUAGGAGAUUCUUAGUGUGGAGUUCUGAUGGGGUUACAUUGAGAGACUCUAUUCCAAAACAAAACAGCAACAGCUUUUGCCCCCCUGAAAAAGAUUCCAGACACUAAAGAUGCCUAUUUUGUCAAUUUAGUUAAUAAUUCAUUUUAUGUGAAAGAAACUAUAUCUUCUGAUUUUCCUUGGCAAAUAAAUAAUUUCAGUAAUUCUAAUUUGAUUGCAAUCUGUAUAAUAUGCUCCUCUAAAAAGUGUCAAUGCAAUAAUCACUGUCACACAAAGGAACAUGAUUUCUUAGCCACACAGCCUCAUUAAUGAAAAAGGGGGUCAUCUAAGCCAGGGUUUCUGUUUUUUUUUUCUAUUCAUAACCCUUUUCCCUUGAGAAAUUUUUGUAUGACUCCAUGUAUGUAAAGUAGUUAUAUAAAUCAAACAUUGGCUCAUAAUAAAUCAUUAAGAAAUAGACUUUUAAAUAAUUCUUUUAAUACAAAUAAUUGUAUAUAUUAAUAUCAAACAAAAUCUGUAUACUAAAGACAUUCAGGUACUUGUUCAUUGUAACAGAAAGAGUUAAAUCUUAGUAGAAUAUUUGAUAUUGCCGGACAUGGAACAUCUUCAAUAUUCCCCAGAGUUGAUUAUUACUUUGAUUUUAUAUUCAUCAAUGCUGAGAAUACCACUUCAUAUAAAAAUUUACAAAAUGACAGAAGUAUAGGUGGGGUCAUUUCAGAGAUUGUUGCCAGUUCUACCUAAUCCAAAGCCAAGAUUCAUCCAAUAAAUUUAAAAUGUAAAAACGAGUCAGUAAAUAGAAU
rnacentral:lncRNA from 1 species